GUAGGUGGCAAGCGUUGUCCGGAAUUAUUGGGCGUAAAGCGCGCGCAGGCGGUUCUUUAAGUCAGAUGUGAAAGCCCACGGGCUCAACCGUGGAGGGUCAUUGGAAACUGGAGAACUUGAGUACAGAAGAGGAAAGCGGAAUUCCACGUGUAGCGGUGAAAUGCGUAGAGAUGUGGAGGAACACCAGUGGCGAAGGCGGCUUUCUGGUCUGUAACUGACGCUGAGGCGCGAAAGCGUGGGGAGCAAACAGGAUUAGAUACCCUGGUAGUCCACGCCGUAAACGAUGAGUGCUAAGUGUUAGGGGGUUUCCGCCCCUUAGUGCUGCAGCUAACGCAUUAAGCACUCCGCCUGGGGAGUACGGCCGCAAGGCUG
rnacentral:rRNA from 1 species